rnacentral:rRNA from 1 species
UACGUAGGGUGCAAGCGUUAUCCGGAUUCACUGGGUUUAAAGGGUGCGUAGGUGGGUCUGUAAGUCCGUGGUGAAAUCUCCGAGCUUAACUUGGAAACUGCCAUGGAUACUAUAGGUCUUGAAUACUGUGGAGGUCAGCGGAAUAUGUCAUGUAGCGGUGAAAUGCUUAGAUAUGACAUAGAACACCAAUUGCGAAGGCAGCUGGCUACACAAAUAUUGACACUGAGGCACGAAAGCGUGGGGAUCAAACAGG